GCCUCUAAUUUCUUUUUAGUUUUUAAUUAUAUAUAUAUAAAUAUAUUUAUAAAUGCAUAAGUGUAUAUAGAUAGAUGCUUAGCCCAUUAAUUUUCAGCCUUACCUAAGGCUAUACAUUUUCCUCCAAGUACUGCUUUAGCUGCACCCCAAAAGUACUGAUUCACUCAAAAUACUU